rnacentral:rRNA from 1 species
CCCAGACUCCUACGGGAGGCAGCAGUGGGGAAUAUUGCACAAUGGGGGAAACCCUGAUGCAGCGACGCCGCGUGAGCGAUGAAGUAUUUCGGUAUGUAAAGCUCUAUCAGCAGGGAAGAAAAUGACGGUACCUGACUAAGAAGCCCCGGCUAACUACGUGCCAGCAGCCGCGGUAAUACGUAGGGGGCAAGCGUUAUCCGGAUUUACUGGGUGUAAAGGGAGCGUAGACGGUCCUGCAAGCCAGAUGUGAAAGCCCGGGGCUCAACCCCGGGACUGCAUUUGGAACUGUAAGGCUAGAGUGUCGGAGAGGCAGGCGGAAUUCCUAGUGUAGCGGUGAAAUGCGUAGAUAUACGGAGGAACACCAGUGGCGAAGGCGGAUUGCUGGACAGUAACUGACGCUGAGGCGCGAAAGCGUGGGGAGCAAACAGGAUUAGAUACCCCCGUA